rnacentral:rRNA from 1 species
UAACACAUGCAAGUCGAGCGAGAAAGGGGCUUCGGCCCUGAGUAAAGCGGCGCACGGGUGAGUAACACGUGGGUAAUCUGCCCUAGAGUGGGGAAUAACACCGGGAAACCGGUGCUAAUACCGCAUACGAUCGCGAUGUCUUCGGAUGUUGCGAUGAAAGGAGCAAUUCGCUCUUGGAGGAGCCCGCGGCUGAUUAGCUAGUUGGUGAGGUAACGGCUCACCAAGGCAACGAUCAGUAGCCGGUCUGAGAGGACGGUCGGCCACACUGGAACUGAGACACGGUCCAGACUCCUACGGGAGGCAGCAGUGGGGAAUUUUUCGCAAUGGGGGCAACCCUGACGAAGCAACGCCGCGUGGGUGAUGAAGUCUCUUGGGACGUAAAACCCUUUCGACGGGGAAGAAACCGCAAGGUUGACGGUACCCGUAGAAGAAGCCCCGGCUAACUCCGUGCCAGCAGCCGCGGUAAUACGGGGGGGGCAAGCGUUGUUCGGAAUUACUGGGCGUAAAGGGCGCGUAGGCGGUCCGCUAAGUUGAAUGUGAAAACUCUGGGCUUAACCCAGAGCCUGCAUUCAAUACUGGCGGGCUAGAGUUCUGGAGGGGAUAGCGGAAUUCCUGGUGUAGCGGUGAAAUGCGUAGAUAUCAGGAGGAACACCGGUGGCGAAGG